UAAGAUCAAAGUUUCUGAUCUGGAGUC
rnacentral:piRNA from 1 species